UUUUACUAAAAUAACUCAGAUAUGGCUAUUCCCGAAUUUAAAAGAGCUAUCAAGUUAUAUACAUUUAGCUGUAGGGUAAAGUGGACUGUAGCAUCAUUUCGUUAAUAAUAACUGAUAGGGGUGAAACGCCUUCAAUUUUAAUGAUAGCUGGAUGGUGGCUAAAUACAUUUAGUGUAUUUCCAAAAGCUGUAUAGUAAUAAGAUUUUGCAGUUAUAAAUAAUGCUAUUUUUUAGGUAUCUUUAUUAUCAAAUAGAUUGUAAAGAAAAGAAAAGGAAUAAUAAAACUAGCGAAAACAUUAUAUAAUAGCUUCUUAGUAAGAAUAAUUAAUUCCAAUUAUUAAAUAAUGUAAAAAUUAGUAGUAACAGAAAGAAUUAGAAAGGAACUCGGCAAAAAGUCUUCUUGCCUGUUUAUCAAAAACAUAGCGGCAUGAUAAGGAUAUGCGGUGCAAUCUGCCCAGUGAUAAAAUUUUAACGGCCGCAGUACUUUGACUGUGCUAAGGUAGCAUAAUAAUUUGGCUUUUAAUUGAGGUCUGGUAUCAAAGAAUCCACAAGGAGAAGCUGUCUCUUAUAUUAUAUUCUGAAAUUGAUUAAUAAGUGAAAAUGCUUAUAGGAAAAAAAAUAGACGAGAAGACCCUUAGAAUUUUUAGAAAUUCUCCUUACAAGGAAGGAUGACGCUUUUUGUUGGGGCAACAUAUUUUCAUAGAAACAAAAUAAUUCUUAGCAGAUAAACCGAUUAUAUAUUUAAAUAUAAAUUACCUUAGGGAUAACAGCAUAAUUUUCAAAAAGUUUGUGACCUCGAUGUUGGACUAGGGACAAUAGUGGCGAGAUGCACCUAUUGUAUGUUCUGUUCGAACCUUUUAAACCU
rnacentral:rRNA from 1 species